ACGGUUGUAGUCUAAUUGGUUAGGAUAUUUGGAUCGCAUCCAAAAAGACCUGGGUUCAAGACUUCAAGUCCCAGCGAUGGAA
rnacentral:tRNA from 1 species